GGCGCCUCCUCUACGCCAGACAGCUUCCACAAGCACUCCCCAAACAACAAAUAGGGCGAGGCACUGGGGCCAGGGCCAGGCGCCAGCUCAGUGGCUCACCGGCUACUCAGAGACCGGAUCAUACACCUGCUGGCUCUGAAGCCAUACAGGAAACCUGAGCUACUGCUGUGGAUGGAGAGAGACAAAGCCAGCCUCAAAGACAAAGCUGACCUGGGAUCAGUGCUGGAAGAGGUGGCCAAACUCAACCCCAAGGACCACAGCUUCAGUCUGAAGGAUGAGUUGUAUAAGCAGGUCCAGAGUGACUGGCCUGCCUACCAUGAAGAAGAGAGGCAGUUGGUCCACAGGCUACUGGCCAGAUCAUGAACAUCAAAAAACACCUAACACUCCUUCCUCCCCUGAAGAGCUGCCAGAUUACUUACAGAAAUAUGGCCCCAUCUCCAGCCCUGAGCAGUGGCAGAAGUACAAGGAGGAUUUCUGUGCAGAGUAUGAUGAGUACAGAGACCUGCACGCCUGCAUUGGUAGUGUCACACACAUGUUUGUCCAGCUGGGCUCCAAGAUCAAGACCCUAUCCCCUGGAACAAAGGAGUACAAGGUAAUGGAAGACCAAAUAUUGGAAAAAUACAGGAAAUUUAAAAAGUGAAUGAAAAGGCCUAAACCUACAAGUACCACAGUCCUCUCCUGCCAUCCCCCGAAUGACACCCAUGGAUGUGAGUGCAACCGGAUGAACACCCUGUGACUGAGCGUGGCCUGAAUGACUGCUGUCCGCAGUCGCACCUGACUGGACCCUGGCUACAGGAGCCAAAGAGGAAUCCAACAGGAAUGUAGGGGACAUGCCGCUACUUCUCAUAGUGGGGCACCAAACUGUAGAAGAUAUACAUCAAUAUCCUCACAGGUAGCGCCAGCAUGUCAUAAUCAGUCUCAUAAUAAUUAAAUAUACAAACUAUAAAUUGGCAAUUCAAAUCAAUAAUUAAAUUAGUUAUUAAAAUUACACAUUAUAGUCAAUCUUAACCAAAUCAUAAUGCCAUGUUCAGCGAAUACCAAUCUACUAUAAAUGAUUGAGCUAAGAGGUGAAGGUAUUCCAAGUUCUAGCAGCGGCUGACUCAAUUCAACACAAGUAUAAAUACAGACAACCAUGUAAAUAUAAUAAAGUUUAUUCAACAAAGUACCAAAAAGGGCAAAGCACAAUUCACUACGGUGAUGUAAUAAAUUAUGUGAGUGCACGUGUGUGUAGGUGUUGUGUGUGCGUGUGUGUGCGCGUGUGAGUAUGAGUGAGGAGUGUUGGAUGUUCUCCUAGGUGGGGGUUGUGUACCGCGGACACGUGUUCACGGAGAACAAAGGAACAAGAUGGAGUAUGAAAGGAGGGGAUUUGAAUCUAGACCAGAGCCGGCCCUGACCAAUUUGGUGCCCUAGGCAAGAUUUUAGAUGGUGCCCCUUGCAUCGCAGCCAAUUCCACAUAUACAUAUAAGACUAAUCAAUAAUGAAAAUGCAAAGGCUUACAACUAUUAAUUACAAAAGGGGAUGGAAAAGGAAAAGCAUUUUAAUUGACUAUUACAAGCAGGGCUAACGUAGGCUAACUAGACUUAUACAACCAGAAGAAUCGGAAGGCAAAAAUCAAAGUCGGUAAACAGGCGGAGGUCAGAACAGGAAAUCAGCAAAACAAAGUCGGCAGGCAAAAAUUGGUGGUCGGGAAAACAGGCAAGAUCAAAACAUGAGUCAAACUAACGAGAGGUAGACGCUGGAAAGGCACUGUAAACAGGAGGCACAAUUUGGCAAAGAAGAACAGGGAAACGGAGAAUAUAUACCAAGGAACCCAGGUGCGCGAAAUGAGAGAUAAUGAACAGAGCGUGAACAUGCAAACAGGGAACAGGUGAAUGAAAUGCCUGAUUAACCAUUAUGUGAGAAUGCGGCCAGAACAGGUGGGAGUGAUCAGCUGAGGGGAGAGAGAGUUAGAGGAAAAAACCACGUCCACACAAAAACCGAAACAAAGAUCGUGCAGGAGAAAAGCAGAUAGCUAACUAAAAGGUAAUAAAAAAAAACAGAAACAUAACAAAUUGUAUGGUAUAAAAUAAGAAGGAACUAUUUUUUCUUGAUAGAAUCGUUGGUUUCAUAGAAUUGAUGACCAGAGGUUUUUGCUUAACAACGGUGCAAAUAGAACUACCAACCACAGUUUUGGUUCGUGCAGCACACUUAAAAGAAAAAGAGUAUUUCUCAAAAUUAUGUUGUAGGUUAUUCCCCAGACACCUGCAUAGUCUCUCCAACUUUCCCUAAUGAAUUUAAGGUGGGAGUAACUGACGUUAACUCUAGCUAUUUAUUAAAUUAGCAAACGUUACUAUCGUCCAAAGUAAGCUAGUAAAACUCUGCUCCAACGGUAAUGUGGAAGGAAGGUCGAAAGGAGUUCAUAUCAGUCACUAUAUAUCAUUAUCAUUUAUAUUUAUCACUAUCACUUAUUAAAUUUCUGCAUGUAGGUAGUAAAUUGUAGUACCAGUGCAUGUCAUAUCACUUAUUAAAUUUCUGCGGCAAAGUAGUAAAUUGCAUUAUCAGUGCAUGCCAUGUGUAAUACGUAAUACUGGUAGCCGCAAGAGAGGUCAGAGUUAGGUCAAAAUGAAUAACCAUUUAUUUUUUAUGGAAAAGAGCGGGGGACGAGGAAAUAAUGGUGGAAAUAUGAACAGGUGUGGAGUGGGAACAAGGCCAAGAUGAGAAAUAAUAGUGUAUGGGAAAUGUGGUGUGAGCCUGUAGGAGGGGUUUGAGUUUAAGCUCCACAACAGGUGGAGCUAGAAAACAGUAUAAAGGAAGAGUGUAUUCAGAGUUGAGCUCAGAGCUGCUUCGCGUGGACCAGCCAGGUUUCUUGCAUGUAACUUU